rnacentral:rRNA from 1 species
GACGAACGCUGGCGGCGUGCUUAACACAUGCAAGUCGAACGGUAAGGCCCUUCGGGGUACACGAGUGGCGAACGGGUGAGUAACACGUGGGUGAUCUGCCCUGCACUUCGGGAUAAGCCUGGGAAACUGGGUCUAAUACCGGAUAGGACUCCUGGCUUCAUGGUUGGGGGUGGAAAGCUUUUGCGGUGUGGGAUGGGCCCGCGGCCUAUCAGCUUGUUGGUGGGGUAAUGGCCUACCAAGGCGACGACGGGUAGCCGGCCUGAGAGGGUGACCGGUCACACUGGGACUGAGGUAAGGCCCAGACUCCUACGGGAGGCAGCAGUGGGGAAUAUUGCACAAUGGGCGCAAGCCUGAUGCAGCGACGCCGCGUGAGGGAUGACGGCCUUCGGGUUGUAAACCUCUUUCAGCUAUGACGAAGCGCAAGUGACGGUAGUAGCAGAAGAAGGACCGGCCAACUACGUGCCAGCAGCCGCCGUAA